AUGAUGCACGGAAAGGAGAAAUUGGAAGCCUACUUAUGGGAGUUCGUCCGAUGCGACUUUGACGAUGAUGUUAAUGAGAGAAAAUCAGAGAGAGCUUCUAAACUCAGAUAUGCAUCCCUUCCGAUUCUUACUAUUACUUGUUAUGGAUACAAAGAAGCGUGGGUAGAUGUAUUAGCAAGGAAGGUGAAGGUUGAAGAUGGAAGACGAUUGAAGUAG